UGCGCAGAUCUAGUUUGAGGAAACCAUGUCAUGAGGCCUGUUUUGGAUGAUAGUAAAGAAGUCCGCUCACUAUAACACAAUCGAGAGGGGCAAGCAUUUGGCAUUCAUCAAAGACAUGAUGGACUUUAACCAAAAAAAAAGGGAAAGAAAAUAAAAAGAUAUGGUAGAUCAUAUCUUAUUGAGUCGAUUGGGAGAAGCAAGAAUUUUCUUAACUAACUCAACUCAAAUAAUCAAUCUAGAGGGGCCAAAAUGAUUCACAUUAAGUCUAAAAAAAAUCUUUUUGGAUCACUUGUAUAAUUAACCGAGACAACACAAUAAGUUAAAUACAAUAAUUAAACGCACGUCCCUAAUAAUUAAAUACAAAAUGUUACCUCAUCAAACUUUCUUGAAAGACAAACUAACCCUACCUUUAUAGGUGUGAUGUGAUCGGUAGUGGAAAUGUACUCAUUUGAUGAACUUCACAUUUUGUAUCAUUGAAACGGAAGGCAA
rnacentral:lncRNA from 1 species